rnacentral:rRNA from 1 species
AUGUUCGAGGGGGUGGUGAGCCAGGUGCUCGCCGGCCUGCUCGGCCGCUACGUCAAGGGCAUCCAGAAGGAGCAGCUUAAGAUCGGCAUCUGGAACGAGGAAAUAAAUUUGGAAAAUGUAGAGCUCAUUCUGGAAGCCUUCGACUACCUGCAGUUGCCUUUUGCACUCAAGACUGGUCGAAUCGGGAAGUUAAGCAUAAAGAUUCCAUGGAAAAAACUUGGAUGGGACCCUAUAAUUAUUGUUAUAGAAGAUGUGUUUGUAUGUGCAUAUCCACGGGAGGAUUCUGAGUGGGGAUCCGAUUCACUUGGUAAGAGAGAACUAGCUGGAAAAUUGGCUAAACUUAAUGCUAUAGAGCUCGCUAAAUUUUCCAGAAGAGUGACAGAUAACCAAACGGGGCAAUCACUUCUAUCCUACAUGUCAGCAAAGAUACUGGACAAUAUCCAAGUUUCCAUACGAAAUGUUCACAUCAUAUAUGUUGAAUCCCACAACGAUCAGAAUUGCUGUUUUUGCCUAUUUUAG